rnacentral:lncRNA from 9 species
UUUUUUUUUUUUUUUUUUUUACCAAAUGGCCACCAAGAGGCCUUCCAAGGCAGAGGACAAAUGUGCCUUCCAGCAGCCAUCCCAUUUGAAUGACCACUCUCUUCCCAAGCACGCCCAAGAAACAGGGGCCGGUAUAUAGCAUGUCAAAUAGUAAACGUGAGCCCAACAUGCAAAUUGCAAAAAUUAUCUUUUGCAUUUUACCUUUAUCUCCUCAAAUGUUCUUAAAUUAGAAAAAAAAAAUGUUUUGGCAUUCUUUGUCCUCAGAGUAGGAAGAUUUGAUUCUUGCACAGUGAUUGUGUGUUUUAAGCACUGGAGGUAAUCAAGUCCCUUGAACUUUUCAGCUCCUGAUUUCCUUAUUUCCCUUUCCCAUAUCUGUUUGCGUAGCUUGGCUGGAUCCGAGGUGUAGGGCAUAUGGCUUUUUGCCGCUUGAGCUGCCACAGAAGAAAAUGUCAUUGGCAUAUAAUGCCAGAUUUCCAUUUUUUGAAUCACAGAGCAUGGGGUUCUGUCUGAAAGCUCCCAGGCCACUGUGUGUUCUUAAAGCAAAGGCAGAAGAGGAUAAGAACCACAUCUCAGAGAUGCUCUUCCUAUGAAAAUGUGUCUGUCGUGAUAAGAAAUACAUAAAAUGGUGAUGCUGUUGCCCUCAAAUGUGUUAGAAAAAGCUGCUUGGCUUGCUUUAGUGGGCACUGGGAAACCCUGGGUAUUUGCUCCAAGCCUCAGUGAAACAGAUACCAGUUAGUCAAGAAUGUAGAGUUAUUUUUGAAUUUUCUCAGACAGAUAAAAUCUGCUUGUGCACGUCCUGGAAAACGUAAGACUGAAUAAAAGAUAUUGAUGGUUUUUUGAUGCAGUGUACCAAAAUUUUGUAUUCAUUACAUUUUCAAGUUAUAAAACUCUUUUGGACAGACCUGGCUGAUUAAAAAAACAAAACAAAACCCUGAAGCUGCUGCAGACACAGCCUCAGGCUUGGUUUCCCACCCUCACACCCCCGUUCCCAACCCCCCUCCCAUGGUUGAGGGGUGUCAAGAGAAGGGUUUGGAAAUUCACAAAGAAAGAAUUUGUUCAAUCAGUAAGUUCAAUAAAUGAAGAGUAUAAACCCUGAACCCAGGGAGUGGGAUUCAAACCCUACCGCCAUUAUUUCCUUGCUGGGUGAUCUUGGGAGGAUGAAUUCCCUUGCUCUAUUUCUCGGUCUCUUCAUCAGUGAAAGAAUAUAGUUAGAGCUAAAUAUAACUGUUGUGAGGGUUAAAUCAGCCAACAUGAACCUGAUUGUCUGAAAUGGACAGUAUUUGAUUGUUUUUGAAUUGUUGCAAAAUUAUAAAUUCUUUAUGGCUUAUCCUAAUAUAUAUAUAAAGCACCUGGGCCAUUUUCAUGAGGACUACAAGGUGCUCCAGGAAGACAUGGUUUCUAGUCCAGUUCUGACCCUGGAUGGUUCUCCUACACCUGCACUCACCCGCCCUCCUCCUUUUCAGACAAGGCAGCACCUGAGGCGGAUUCCUCCUCCUGUACUUUGGAUUCUCUCCCGUCUCCUCUGCUCCAGGACUGCUCCAUCAGAAUCCCUUCUAACUCUUACAUCAUUAGUCUCAUCCUCUUAGAUGCUACCUGCUCACGAGCAUCUAAACGUACUCAAGUCUCCCAAACUUUAAAAAAUAAAUAACCCCUUCUUGGAGUUCCCAUCAUGGCUCAGUGGUUAGCGAAUCCGACUAGGAACCAUGAGGUUGUGGGUUCGAUCCCUGGCCUUGCUCAGUGGGUUAAGGAUCUGGCAUUGCCGUGAGCUGUGGUGUAGGUUGCAGACAAGGCUCGGAUCCCGUGUUGCUGUGGCUGUGGUGUAGGCCGGCAGCUACAGCUCCGAUUAGACCCCUAGCCUGGGAACCUCCAAAUGCUGUGGGAGUGGCCCAAGAAAUGGCAAAAAGACAAAAAUAAAUAAAUUAAAAAAAAUAAAAACCCUUCUUGAUCCUCUAUCCACCUCCAGCCUGGGUGCCUCUAUUUACCAUCUUUUUUCACUUCACUUAUUAAUCCAUGGCAACCUGUCUUCUGCCCUCACUAAAAAUGUAACUAAGCAGAAGGAGAGAAGUUAUGACUCUAAACAAGCACUAAAUUAUACUGUCAAUACUUGAAAAGCUCUUUAGCCACAAAAGCCAUCAGUUUUGACAAAGUCAGGAAUGACCUCUAAUGGACAUUUUAAAAUCUCUGUCUUAUUUGCUUCCUUUGCAGCACUUGGCCCUGUUGGCCACUCUUUUCUUAGAAACUAUUUUACUGUGGCUUUGGACAUGAACACAUACACAAGAUGUGUACGUGGUACACUGUGUGUGUGUGUGUGUGUACACAUAUAUAUGGAUCAAUGAUAAUUAUUUUACUUCCUCUUUUAUGUAUAUAUGGAAGAAAUAAAGUAAUUAUUGUCGUUCCAGUUACUAGUGAUAUUUUUAGACAAAAAAGUUAAAAGGUAACUAAAAAUAUCAUUCAGCUCAAGAAGAGAAACAUGACCCUAAAAUGCACUAAUACACAAUCUGAAUACUUGAAAACCUCUUUUAGCCACAAAAGACGUGAUUUCUAAGAGCAAAUGGAGAUUGAGAGGAAUCAUUGAGUUGUUCUCAUUUAAGACUUGAAAGAAGUCGUAUUGUUAUGCAUCUCUGCUCUGAUGAAGAAGACAUCAAAAAUUUUAUAAAGAUAAAUCUUUUAUCCCCUUCUCCUUUAUACUUAUUGGCAUCUUCCCUCCUCCCUCUUCAGUUUCUUUUCUUUAGCCUAAAAAUCUCUCCUAUCCUUAAAAAUGUUUUUUCACCCCUCGUCCUCUUUCAAGUUCUUUACAGUUUCUUUCUUACCUCCUGCACUGAACUUCCCAGGAGAGAUUGCCAUCUCCUUGCCCACUUCCUCCACUUGCUGUGGUUUGACAUUCACCCAAGUCCACCUACUGAAAUUGCUGCAUUUGGGUCCGCAGUCACCUCCUGAGUGUCAAGUCUGAUGGCUUGUUCCAUGUUCCUCAUGCUCCUUUGCCCUAAAGUAUUAGCUUGUGUCCCUACCUGGGCCUCCUGGGAUCCUCUCCAUCCCUGGACUCCCAGGGCACUGCCACCACCUCUCACUGACCCCUUAAACUAAGGCAUUCCCCAGGCCUUCUUGUUUCUCUCCUGUCACCUCCUCCUCCCCUCCCACAGUCUCAUUUCCAAUCAUCCGUCACCUCUGGGAGUGGCACCUUGUCUCUUAGAAGUGGAACCUUGGAAUGAUUCCUGGCUUUUCCUCUCCUCUUCUCCUAACAGGUCCAGAUCCUCUGGAUCUACCAGUGUAGGAAAAAGGGUUGUCUGGCUGUUACCGCUAGUACCCUGCUUCCUGCCACCAUGACCUCUUGUGGAGACUAUGCUUGUCUCUUAAUGUUCUCCCUGAAUCUGGACGCAGCCCAUCGAUGAGUUCUCUUUCCCCUAGCUGCCAGAAAUACCUUUCUAGAACAUAGGUCUUCUAACAACACAUCUGUUCCCAAAAACCUUUGGUUUCCUCUUCUUGCAGUGUGAUAACCAAGCUCCACCAACCUAUUGCAAACCACAUUUCUAAACAACAUGCCCGCUGCACCCUAACACACCCCUACUAACCUAUAGUGAAUCAUAUCGAUGGCUCCCCAAGCACACCUCGCACAGCCAAGUCUCCAUCCUUAUCCGUGUUCCCUCCACCAGGAAGACCUUUCACCCUUUCUGUUGAAAGACCUUUCACCCUUUUUAUUGAAAUUGUGCCCAUUGUUCAAGGCCCCUCCCAUGGGUUCUGCAGAGCCCUUUCAAGGAGGCAGAAAUAAUUGUUUUCAUUUAGGUGCACUUUUUUUGGGGGGGGCAGGGUUUCUAGGGCCACACCUGCAGCACAUGGAAGUUCCCAGGCUAGGGGUCAAAUCGGAGCUACAGCUGCUGGCCUAUGUCACAGCUACAGCAACGUCAGAUCCUUACCCCACUGGGCUGGAGCAAGGAUCGAACCUGAAUCCUCUUGGAUACUAGUCGGGUUUCCAAUUAACUUGCUUCUAAAGGUCCCAACCACCCUUUGUCCCCCCUCAUAGCUGCCCAAUGCAAUGCUGUGGAAUCCUGGAAGGACCUACUAGAAACCUUGCUCUUAGAUUAUAGUUCAUUAUCUGCACUCUCUUCCACUCUGCUUUUGAGAAUAAGGACAAAUUCGGCCUCACCUUUCUAUCCCAAGAUGCCUACCAAAAAAGUAUACAGGUGUGCAACAAAUGUUAAGCAGAUUGAGUUUUUAAUCUAGCCAUUAGCAGGUGGUGGGCAGAGAAGCCAAUUAAAAAAAAGAAUAGGAGUUCCCGUCGUGGCGCAGUGGUUAACGAAUCUGACUAGGAACCAUGAGGUUGCGGGUUCCGUCCCUGCCCUUGCUCAGUGGGUUAACGAUCCGGCGUUGCCGUGAGCUGUGGUGUAGGUUACAGACGCGGCUGGGAUCCUGCGUUGCUGUGGCUCUGGCGUAGGCCGGUGGCUACAGCUCCGAUUCAACCCCUAGCCUGGGAAUCUCCAUAUGCCGAGGGAGCGGCCCAAGAAAUAGCAACAACAAC